rnacentral:rRNA from 1 species
CUUAAGCAAUUAAGAUAGUGGCGAACGGGUGAGUAACACGUAAGUAACCUGCCCUUAAGCGGGGAAUAACUCCGGGAAACUGGAGCUAAUGCCGCAUGUGGUGGCUUUCUCUAUGGAGAGCCACUAAAGCCGUAAGGUGCUUGGUGA